rnacentral:rRNA from 1 species
GACGUAGGGCGCGAGCGUUGUCCGGAUUUAUUGGGCGUAAAGAGCUCGUAGGCGGCUUGUCGCGUCGACUGUGAAAACCCGAGGCUCAACCUCGGGCCUGCAGUGGGUACGGGCAGACUAGAGUGCGGUAGGGGAGAUUGGAAUUCCUGGUGUAGCGGUGAAAUGCGCAGAUAUCAGGAGGAACACCGGUGGCGAAGGCGGGUCUCUGGGCCGAUACUGACGCUGAGGAGCGAAAGCGUGGGGAGCGAACAGG